UUCCCGUACGAUCACCGAGGUUAAGCAACAUCGAUCCUGAUCCGUAUUUGGAUGGGUGACCACUUCAGAACACCAGGUGCUGUAAG